rnacentral:rRNA from 1 species
UACGGAGGAUGCGAGCGUUAUCCGGAUUUAUUGGGUUUAAAGGGUGCGUAGGCGGCUUAGUAAGUCAGCGGUGAAAUUUUGCAGCUUAACUGUAACAGUGACGUUGAUACUGCAUGGCUAGGAUUUGGUUGCUGUGGGUGGAAUGUGUGGUGUAGCGGUGAAAUGCUUAGAUAUCACACAGAAUAUCAAUUGCGAAGGCAGCUCACAAAGCCAAGAUUGACGCUGAGGCACGAAAGUGUGGGGAUCAAA